rnacentral:lncRNA from 1 species
GUUUAACAGGAAAGUUACUAUCCAGAAAUUAACCCACAAAGGUGGGAAGAGUAUUUACCCGCUAAUCUCUUUAUUCCCUCGCCUGACAAAAUAUCUGCAUUCCUGGGCGGCCUCAAGAAAUGAACUACAGACAUCUAUUCCCUUUGUGAUACCUCCUUGGAAUCAAAGUGUGGAGUGUAACAAUGUGCCUCCACACACUCACACUAGUUGAUGCUUCAUCUUGGUGAAAUCAAGUUUUUGGAAUUACCUUUCCUAAGAUCAUUCUAUUCACAGAGAAGGAGCUUAAUGUAAGUGAAAUUUUGUAAAAACCAAAGGAAACUAUGGUGGAUGUAUUCUAGACAGAAGAAGGAUUAAACCAAGAUAAAAACAAUGUGAAUGAGGAAAGUGGGAGUAACAGGGAUUCCAAGAGAAAGAUUUUCCAUUUGUCAAAAAUGAGGAGUACUAAUCAGUAGUGCUAUGGAAACAAGACACUAACAGUUAUAGUCCGGAAGAAGAGAUGAUAACAUCUGUCCCUAAAAAGAGAUGCUGUGAGAAUGGGUAGCCAUCGAAAGCAAUUCUGUUCAUCAGACAAGAGUUCUUGCUAUUUACACCACAUCUGCAGUGACUUCCUCCACUGAAGUAUUGAACCUUUAAAGUCAUCCAUGAAGGUUGAAAUCAACUUCUUCCAAACUCCUCAUAGGAUUGAUAUUUUGACCUCCUCCCAUAAACGACAAAUUUUCUGAAUGUCAUCUAAAAUGGCAAUUUUUUUCCAGAAGGUUUUCAACUUUGCCCAGAUCCAUUAGAGGAAUCACUGUAGCAGUUAUAUCCUUAAUAAAUGUAUUUGUAAAAUAAUAAUACUUGAAAGUCAAAAUUACUCCUUAACUGUGGGCUACAGGAUAGAUGUUGUGUUAGCAGUCAUGAAAAAAACAUUAAUCUCCUUGAACAUCUUCAUCAGAGCUCUUGGGUAACCAGGUGCAUUGUCAGUGACCAGGAAUAUUUUGAAAGGAAUUUCAAAAGGUCUCAACAGUAAGGCUUAAAAUAUUCAAUAAACCAUACUGUAAACAGAUGUGUUGUCAUCUAGGCUUUGUUAUUUCAUUUCUAGAACAAAUGCAGAGUAUAUUUAGCAUAAUUCUUAAGGACCCCAGUAUUUUCAGAAGGGCUAAUGUGUAUCGUCUUCAUCUUAAAGCCACCAACUGUAUUAGCUCCUAAAAAGAGAGUCAGCCUGUUCUUUGAAGCUUUGAAGCUAGGCAUUGACUUCUUCUCUCUAGCUACAAAAGUUCUAGAGGGCAUCUUCUUCCAAUAGAAGGCAUUUUGGUCUACAUUAGAAAUCUGUUGUUUAGUGUAGCCAUGUUCAUCAAUUAUCUUAGGCAGGAGAACUUCAGCUGGAGAACUUGCUGUAGCUUCUUGCACUUGCUUCACUUGCACUUUUAGGUUGGAGACGGUUUUAUAAAGAUAAUUUAUUUUCUUAAAUCCCAUGAAUCAACACCUACUAGCUUUAAACUUUUCUCUUCAGCUUCCUCACCACUCUCAGACUUCAUAGAAUUGAAGAGGUUAAGGCCUUGUUCUGGAUUAAGCUUUGGCUUAAGGAAAUGUUGUGGCUGAUUUGAUCAUUUUUAUUCAGACCACUCAAAAUUUCUCCAUUAAGCCAUAGGCUGUUUUGCUUUCUUAUAAUUUGUGUGUUCACUGGAGUCACACUUUUAUUUUUUAGAGACAAGUUCUUGCUCUAUUGCCCAGGCUGCAGUGCAGUGACACAAUCAUAGCUCACUGCAACCUUGAACUCCUGGGCUCAAGUGAUCCUCCUGCCUCAGCCUCCCAGGUAGCUGGGACUAUAGACAUGCACCACCAUACUUGGCUUAUUUUUUUUAAAUAAGUCUUCACUAUGUUGCCCAGGCUGGUCUUGAACUCCUGGUCUCAAGGAAUUUCCCCACCUUAGCCUCCCAAAACUCUAGGAUUACAGGCAUAAGCCACCACACCUGUCCUGGAGUAGCACUUUUAAUUUCCAUCAAGAACUUUUCCCUUGCAUCCACAACUUGGCUACUUGUUGCAAGAGGCCUAGCUUUCAGCCUAUCCUGACUUUCAACAUGCCUUCCUCACUAAGCUUAGUCAUUUCUAGCUUUUGAUUUAAAGUGAGAGCCAUGUGGCUCUUCCUUUCACUUGAACACUUCGAGUCCAUUGUAGAGCUAUUAAUUGCCCUAAUUUUUUUAUUGUUGUUUUAAUAUUUGCUACUACCACCAAGAUCUGCGCCUGCAGUGGCUCCACCCAGGCCCAUGUUCUAUUAAGGGACAUUGCAAUGGCCCUUCUACUCAUCUUGGCAUAGUGUCUUUAGGCUUGGGAGAUCUGAGCACUGCUCUGUCCUUCCUGCUCUAGUCCCUCUACUAGCAAUGGCUGCAUAUUGGCUCAACUCCUCAGCACCAUCCAUUUUCAGGGACAGUUGAGUAGUCAGUUGAGUUGUUAUACACUCCUUAGUGGAUUCUGACUUCCAUGGUCACUGUACUGUUGUAUAAUCAACUAUCCUAAUUUCAACAUUGUUGUGUCUCAGGGAAUAGGGAGGCCUGAAGUUAAGGAGAGACAUGGAGCAAUGAUCAAUCAGUUGAGCAAUCAAAACACACACAACAAUUAUCAAUGAAGUUUACUGUCUUAUAUGGGCAUGUUUUCUGGUGCCACAAAACAAUUACAAUAGUAACAUCAAAGGUCACUGAUCACAAAUCACCGUAACAGAUAUAAUAAUAGUGGAAGUUUGAAAUAUUGCAAGAAUUACCAAAAUGUGUCACAAAGACCUGAUGGACUUGCUAGAGGCAAGGCUGCCAAAAACUUUCAAUUUGUUAAAUAUGCAAAAUCUGCAUGGUAAAAUAAAGCAUAGCACAAUAAAAAGAAAUAUGCAUGUAUACACUAUUUAUAAUGUAUAUCCCUACAUAUAAUAUAUAUCAAUAUAUAAUAAAUGUACGUAUUGUUACAUAUUUGCAAAUAUAUAUGGUGAAAUAUAUCCAUGAGUUGCCAAAUCUGUUUUCACAACAUUAUGAACCUUCAAAAACAUGCCCAGCAAGGAGUCAUGAUGGCUGUGCAUACCCACGAACAGGGUUGAUUAGAAACAACUGUUUCAUUUACACAACACUGGGUCAUAUGACAAAUAAAUAACAGCAACCUGCCUAUUUUUAAAAUUUUGACAUCUUGCUUCUCAUGAAUUUUUUUAAUUUUUGAUUUUUUAAAUUCAUUGCCUUAACUAUUAUUUAGCCUGAUUACUGAGUUUUUGGCACCACUUUUAAAAAAAUAACUCAUUUAUUUUGAAAUGAUUUUCAUUGUAUAUAUUUAUGGGGUACAACAUGACUUUUUCAUAUAUGUAUACAUAAUGGAACAAUUAAUCAAAGUAAAUAACAUAUCUUCACCUCAUAAACAUCUUUUCUGUGGUUAGAACAUUUAAAAUCUACUUUCUUAGCACUUUUCAAGUAUGUAGCACAUUAUUAUUAACUAUAGUCACUCUGCUGUAUAACAAAAUAAAUGUCCAGAACUUAAUCAUCUUGUUUAACUGAAUCUUUCUAUAUUUUGACAAACAUCUGUCCUUGUUCCCAGCCUAUGAAAAGAAUACCCUACUCUUUUGAGUUCAACUUUUUCAGAUUCUACAUAAAAGUGAGAUCAUACAGUAUUUUUUUCUGUGCCUAGCUUAUUUUACUUAGCAUAAUAUCCUGCAGAUACAUCCAUAGUAUCUCAAAUAGCAAGAUACCCUUUUUUCUAAGGCUGAAUCUUAUUCCAUUGUGUGUAUCCGUCCCAUUUUCUUUAUCCAUUCAUCCAUCAAGAGAUAUUAUUUUAUUGUCAUAUCUUGGCUAUGAAUAAUAGUUCGCUAUUAAGAAUAAUGCUGCAAUGAACAUGAGGCUGUAGAUACCUCUGUGACAUAACUGAUUUCAUUUCCUUUGGAUAUACACACAGAAGUGGAAUUGCUGGAUUAUGUGGUAGUUUUAUUUUUAAUUUUUGAGAAACCUCCAUACUACUUUUCAUAAUGGCUAUACUAAUUUACAUUCCCACAAACAGUGUGCAAGGGUUCCCUUUUCUCUACAUAUUUGCCAAUAUUUGUCUUUUGUAUUUUAAUAAAUGCUAUUCUCACAGGUGUGAAGUGAUAGCUCAUUCACACCUGUGAAUUUGCAUUCCCCUGAUGAUUAGUGAUGUGAAAUAUUUUUUUUUUUGUAUACUUAUUGGCCUUUUGAUUCUCUUCUUUUGAAAAAUAUUUAUUAAAGUUCUGUGCCCAUUUUUUAAUCAGUUUGUUUGUUUUCUUGCAUAGAGUUGAGUUCCUUAUAUAUUUUUUAAAUUAACCCUUUAUCAAAUAUAUUGUUGGUAUAGUUUGAAUAUUUGUCCCCACCCAAAUUUCAUGUUGAAAUGUAAUCCCAGUGUUGGAGUUGGACCCUGGUAGCAGGUGUUUGGAUCAUUGGGGAGGAUCCCUCAUGAAUGGCUUGGGCCGUCUCUUUGGUGAUAAGUGAGUUCUGGCUCUGAGUUCACAUAAGAUCUGGUCAUUUACAACUGUACAACAGCUCCUGGCUACUCUUUCUCUCACUUGCCACUGCCGUAUGGUGUUCCUACUCCCCCUUUGCCUUCCACCAUGAUUGUAAGCUUCCUGAAGCCUCCCCAGAGGCUGAGCAGAUACCAGCACCAGGCUUCCUGUAAAGCCUGCAGAACUGUGAGCCAAUUAAAUCCUUUUUCUUUAUAAAUUACCCAGUCUCAGACAUUUCUUUAGAUCAAUGUGAGUGAGCUAAUACAAUGGUUUACAAAUACUUUCUCUUGUUAAACAGGUUGUCUCAUGAAUAGCUUGUUGAAUGUUUCCUUUGGUGUGCAGAAGCUCUUUAGUUUGAUGUAAUCCCAUUGCUUUAUUUUUCCUUUUGCUGUCUGUGCUUUUGUGAUAAUAUUCAAUAAAUCUUUGCUAAUACCAAUAUCAUGGAGCUUUUCCUCUAGUUUUUG